rnacentral:rRNA from 1 species
GACGAACCGGGCGAACGUUGUUCGGAAUCACUGGGCUUAAAGGGCGCGUAGGCGGUGCGGUAAGUCACCUGUGAAAUCUCCUGGCUCAACUGGGAGCUUGCAGGCGAAACUGCCGUGCUGGAGUGUGGGAGAGGUGCGUGGAAUUCCUGGUGUAGCGGUGAAAUGCGUAGAUAUCAGGAGGAACACCGGUGGCGAAGGCGGGUCUCUGGGCCAGUACUGACGCUGAGGAGCGAAAGCGUGGGGAGCGAACAGG